GAGUUUGAUCAUGGCUCAGGAUGAACGCUAGCGGCAGGCUUAACACAUGCAAGUCGAGGGGUAGAGUUAGCUUGCUAACUUGAGACCGGCGCACGGGUGCGUAACGCGUAUGCAAUCUACCUUGUACAGGGGGAUAGCCCAGAGAAAUUUGGAUUAAUACCCCAUAGUGUUAUGAUGUGGCAUCACAUUAUAACUAAAGUUCCAACGGUACAAGAUGAGCAUGCGUCCCAUUAGCUAGUUGGUGUGGUAACGGCAUACCAAGGCAACGAUGGGUAGGGGUCCUGAGAGGGAGAUCCCCCACACUGGCACUGAGACACGGACCAGACUCCUACGGGAGGCAGCAGUGAGGAAUUAUGGUCAAUGGGCGCAAGCCUGAACCAGCCAUGCCGCGUGCAGGAUGACGGUCCUAUGGAUUGUAAACUGCUUUUGUACAGGAAGAAACACUCCCUCGUGAGGGAGCUUGACGGUACUGUAAGAAUAAGGAUCGGCUAACUCCGUGCC
rnacentral:rRNA from 1 species